CAUUUGGUGAAUGCCUUGGCGAUAAGAGGCGAUGAAAGACGUGGCACGCUGCGAAAAGCUGCGGUGAGGUGCGAGCAACCUUUGACCCGCAGAUAUCUGAAUGGGGAAACCCACCCUUCGGGGUAUCCUGUAGUGAAUACAUAGCUGCAGGAGGCAAACCCGGGGAACUGAAACAUCUCAGUACCCGGAGGAAAGGACAUCAACCGAGACUCCGCUAGUAGUGGCGAGCGAACGCGGACCAGGCCAGUGGCUAUAGGAUAAGAACCGGAACCGUCUGGAAAGUCGGGCCUUAGUGGGUGACAGCCCCUUACGGGUAGAAAAUCUUAUAGUCCUUGAGUAGGGCGGGACACGUGAAAUCCUGUCUGAACGUGGGGGGACCACCCUCCAAGC
rnacentral:rRNA from 16 species